rnacentral:rRNA from 1 species
AGAGUUUGAUCCUGGCUCAGGACGAACGCUGGCGGCGUGCUUAACACAUGCAAGUCGAACGGAAAGGUCUCUUCGGAGAUACUCGAGUGGCGAACGGGUGAGUAACACGUGGGUGAUCUGCCCUGCACUUUGGGAUAAGCCUGGGAAACUGGGUCUAGUACCGGAUAGGACCGCGCCAUGCAUGUGGUGUGGUGGAAAGCUAUUUGCGGUGUGGGAUGGGCCCGCGGCCUAUCAGCUUGUUGGUGGGGUGAUGGCCUACCAAGGCGACGACGGGUAGCCGGCCUGAGAGGGUGUCCGGCCACACUGGGACUGAGAUACGGCCCAGACUCCUACGGGAGGCAGCAGUGGGGAAUAUUGCACAAUGGGCGCAAGCCUGAUGCAGCGACGCCGCGUGGGGGAUGACGGCCUUCGGGUUGUAAACCUCUUUCACCAUCGGCG